UACGUAGGGGGCAAGCGUUGUCCGGAUUUAUUGGGCGUAAAGAGCGUGUAGGCGGCCAGGUAGGUCGGUUGUGAAAACUGGAGGCUCAACCUUCAGAGGUCGACCGAAACCAUCUGGCUAGAGUCCGGAAGAGGCGAGUGGAAUUCCUGGUGUAGCGGUGGAAUGCGCAGAUAUUAGGAGGAACACCGGUGGCGAAGGCGCCGCUCUGGGCCGAAACUGACGCUGAGGAGCGAAAGCAUGGGUAGCAAACAGGG
rnacentral:rRNA from 1 species